UACAGGACGAACGCUGGCGGCGUGCUUAACACAUGCAAGUCGAACGGGAGUAUUGAAGAAGCUUGCUUUAGAGAUACUUAGUGGCGGACGGGUGAGUAACGCGUGAGGAGCUGUCCUAUGCAGGGGGACAACAGCUGGAAACGGCUGCUAAUACCCCAUAAGCCGAGAGGUAAAAGGAUCAAUCCGGCAGAGGAGGUACUCGCGUCCUAUCAGCUAGUAGGUGAGGUAACGGCUCACCUAGGCGAAGACGGGUAGCCGGCCUGAGAGGGCGAACGGCCACACUGGAACUGAGAUACGGUCCAGACUCCUACGGGAGGCAGCAGUGGGGAAUAUUGGGCAAUGGGGGAAACCCUGACCCAGCGACGCCGCGUGGGUGAAGAAAUCCUUCGGGAUGUAAAGCCCUGUUGUAUGGGAAGAGCGGAAGACGGUACCAUACGAGGAAGCCCCGGCAAACUACGUGCCAGCAGCGGC
rnacentral:rRNA from 1 species